CCAGAUACGCCGUGUAAGGGUCCCCUUUUUAUAAAUCAACCAAUGUGCUAUCUAUGUGUGUGCUUUUAGUUUUACCUGUGUUACGCAAAUGAUGGUAAGGAUAGACAUUUAUCAGACCUUCGUUACUAACAUAUAUCUUUCUUCGUUUUU